GGUUUUCACAGAGAAAUUUGUCUCGCCUCGAGACACCGGGCGAUAUUCCCCGUCUCGCUUCGACUCACGUUCACGUCGUCUUCUCUGCGGCGGCCGCGCCUAGACUUCUCCUCCGUCGCCGCCCCCUUCGCUCUGCUCUCGGCUGGACUUCUUCUCCGUCGCCAUCGCUCUGCGGCACCAGUACCUCCAUCUCCGCAGAUCCUGGGGCUGCAGACGGCCGCAUCUUCAUCUCUACUCCCCCUAUCCCCUCUCCGAGGACCGGUGGCAAGCUGACCGACAAGAGCUUCGUUAGGGAGGUGAGGCGCAGCUGCUUCAACUUCACCUGCGCCACCAAAGGCCAAGAAGGUUGAGCUCAAGGGCAAGGACGUUGCUGUCAAAGUAGUCAUUCCCAAGGCAAAUGUGCUGACCAUAUCCUUCUUCCGGUUCCCAAUGAGAAUGAUCGGUGGAAGCAAUGCAUGAUGUGAGAAAAGUGAUGCAGACUUGCUCAACAUUAUGUGCUUGAGGCCUCUGGUUAAAAUUGCUAUCAAAGGCAGAAAGAGAAUUGACAGUACAUAGUGCGCCUCAUUUCACCGAGCCGUAAUGCGGGUAUCGCCGAAUCUACGGCGCUUAAUUUCGUCACCAAACAUUUGGCUGGCUCUGGUGCAAGAAUUGAACUAGUAGCUGUUGUGGCUGCCAAAGCUUUGGCAUACCGUGGCGUAGGCAUUUGGCAGCUGCGGCGUGGCCACCUGCGGUGCGAGUUGGGCGCAAGCCAAACAGGCCCAGAGGAAAAAGAUGAUUCUUGAGUAGAAUUUCUAUACGAAUUUUUCGUACCCUGAUGCUUUAACUUAUUCAUUCAUAUUAUGUUUUCUGCUAUUUUGUGUAUGUAUCUUUGUUGGAAAAGUGUGGUACAGUGAUAAUCUAUAAAUCUAUACACGCAUAACUUAUAUGACAA